UCUAACGCUACGGCUACACCAGACGCGGAAAUUCUGCCGUGCGGAAAUAGAACGUUCACCAAGCGGAAAUUUUAAAUUAACCGGCUACACUGGACGCGUUAAAAAUGGCUCCUUUAUCUUUUUUGAUCUCUGUUAUUACUAUGGUCCAGUUCAAUAGCUGCUUAUAGUAUAGAAGUAUAGUAUAGAAGUUACUCACCAGUUAUGCCAACUGCCUCCGAAACAGCUCUCCAUCCGGCAUCUCUUUGACGUUUAUCCUUAUAUUUCGGGUCACUGUGGUCGUAAAGCUGUACUCGUUUUUCAACUUCAUGAAUUAAUAAAUAAUCAUCCAUUCUUGAACUA